GCCAGGCAUGGUGGCUUGUGCCUGUAAUCCCAGCUACUUGGGAGGCUGAGGUGGGAGGAUGGCUUGAGCUCAGGAGUUUGAGGCUGCAGUAAGCUAUGAUCAAACCAUUGCAGUCCAGCCUGGGCAACAGAGUGAGACCCCAUCUCCA
rnacentral:sRNA from 1 species